rnacentral:rRNA from 1 species
UACAGAGGUCUCAAGCGUUGUUCGGAUUCAUUGGGCGUAAAGGGUGCGUAGGCGGCCCUGUAAGUCCGCUGUGAAAGUCAAGGGCUCAACCCUUGAAUGCCGGUGGAUACUGCAGGGCUAGAGUCCGGAAGAGGCGAGUGGAAUUCCUGGUGUAGCGGUGAAAUGCGCAGAUAUCAGGAGGAACACCGAUGGCGAAGGCAGCUCGCUGGGACGGUACUGACGCUGGAGGCGCGAAAGCGUGGGGAGCAAACAGG